AUUGAACGCUGGCGGCAUGCUUUACACAUGCAAGUCGAACGGUAACAGGCCUUCGGGUGCUGACGAGUGGCGAACGGGUGAGUAAUGCAUCGGAACGUGCCCAGUCGUGGGGGAUAACGCAGCGAAAGCUGUGCUAAUACCGCAUACGAUCUGCGGAUGAAAGCGGGGGACCUUGUAGCAAUAUGGGGCCUCGCGCGAUUGGAGCGGCCGAUGUCAGAUUAGGUAGUUGGUAGGGUAAAGGCCUACCAAGCCGACGAUCUGUAGCUGGUCGGAGAGGACGACCAGCCACACUGUGACCGAGACACGGCACAGACUUCUACGGGAGGCAGCAGUGGGGAAUUUUGGACAAUGGGCGCAAGCCUGAUCCAGCAAUGCCGCGUGCAGGAAGAAGGCCUUCGGGUUGUAAACUGCUUUUGUACGGAACGAAACGGCUCUGGUUAAUACCUGGGGCACAUGACGGUACCGUAAGAAUAAGCACCGGCUAACUACGUGCCAGCAGCCGCAGUAA
rnacentral:rRNA from 1 species